rnacentral:rRNA from 1 species
UCAGGAUGAACGCUGGCGGCGUGCUUAACACAUGCAAGUCGAACGAGGCUUGUCGACGGAAAUUUCGGAUGGAAGACGGCAGUGACCGAGUGGCGGACGGGUGAGUAACGCGUGGGGAACCUGCCCCAUUCCGGGGGAUACCAGUUGGAAACGACUGUUAAUACCGCAUAGGCGCACGGGAAGGCAUCUUCCAGUGUGAAAAACUGAGGUGGAAUGGGUUGGCCCCGCGUCUGAUUAGCCAGUUGGCAGGGUAACGGCCUACCAAAGCGACGAUCAGUAGCCGGCCUGAGAGGGCGACCGGCCACAUUGGGACUGAGACACGGCCCAAACUCCUACGGGAGGCAGCAGUGGGGAAUAUUGCACAAUGGGGGGAACCCUGAUGCAGCCGACGCCGCGUGAGUGAGGAAGUAUUUCGGUAUGUAAAGCUCUAUCAGCAGGGAAGAAGAUGACGGUACCUGCACAAGAAGCCCCGGCUAACUACGUGCCAGCAGCCGC